rnacentral:rRNA from 1 species
GGAAUAUUGCACAAUGGGGGAAACCCUGAUGCAGCGACGCCGCGUGAGUGAAGAAGUAUUUCGGUAUGUAAAGCUCUAUCAGCAGGGAAGAAAAUGACGGUACCUGACUAAGAAGCCCCGGCUAACUACGUGCCAGCAGCCGCGGUAAUACGUAGGGGGCAAGCGUUAUCCGGAUUUACUGGGUGUAAAGGGAGCGUAGGUGGCAAGGCAAGUCAGAUGUGAAAUGCCGGGGCUCAACCCCGGAACUGCAUUUGAAACUGUCUAGCUAGAGUGCAGGAGAGGUAAGUGGAAUUCCUAGUGUAGCGGUGAAAUGCAUAGAUAUUAGGAGGAACACCAGUGGCGAAGGCGGCUUGCUGGACGAUAACUGACGCUGAGGCUCGAAAGCGUGGGGAGCAAACA